GACCCAGUGCUACCCUUACAAAUGUGCUGUACCAGGAUUGCUUCCUAGGGCACACGGCCAGCAGCUACUGUUACCUCUCCAAUUUGGAUAGAUGACUACUCAGAGUGGGAGCAGAACCAGGAGCACCCACUUGUUUCCAGUGCAGCAGACAAUUCAGUUGUGCCACUGGUGAAUGAGGAUGAAGAGGAAC